rnacentral:ncRNA from 1 species
UCGGGGCCAGGCAGAUCCCCGAUGGCUACCCGCCAAGACGGUGUCCCGUCCAAAUCUGC